GAUGAACGCUGGCGGCGUGCCUAAUACAUGCAAGUCGAGCGAACAGACGAGGAUCUUGCUCCUCUGACGUUAGCGGCGGACGGGUGAGUAACACGUGGAUAACCUACCUAUAAGACUGGGAUAACUUCGGGAAACCGGAGCUAAUACCGUAUAAUAUAUUGAACCGCAUGGUUCAAUAGUGAAAUACGGUUUUUCUGUCACUUAUAGAUGGAUCCGCGCCGCAUUAGCUAGUUGGUAAGGUAACGGCUUACCAAGGCGACGAUGCGUAGCCGACCUGAGAGGGUGAUAGGCAACACGGGAACUGAGACACGGUCAAGACUCCUAAGGGAGGCAGCAGUAGGGAAUCGGCCGCAAUGGGCGAAAGCCUGACGGAGCAACGCCGCGUGAGUGAUGAAGGUCUUCGGAGCGUAAAAAUCGGUUAUUAGGGAAGAACAAAUGUGUAAGUAACUAUGCACGUCCUGACGGUACCUAAUCAGAAAGCCACGGCUAACUACGUG
rnacentral:rRNA from 1 species